CACAUAAUUCCCGCGUCUUUCACCUCAAUUUCUCGCGUUAGAUUCCCCAUCAAUCCAACGCUCACAAUUCUCAGGAAAAAUAAAAAGGAAUUAAUAAUAAUUUAAUCACAUGAUCGAAACUCAAAUUCCUACCACCUUGACCUUAUUAUUUGAUCACCAACAAACAUCAUCAUCAUCAUCUUUGAGAUUUCAACGUUGUGUUAUGUGUGUGAUUGUGAUCGCCAUUCAAAUAUCGGAUCCGAUAUUUGGGUCAAGACUGAAGGGCAAUUGAUUCGGAGGAUCCACCGAAAGAGGAGGAAUUAAGUAGGACAUGAAAGGAGAUGUUGGAUUGGAUCUUUGAAGCUUCCACCCUCCCUCCUCAGACUCUCUAAUCUCAUUAAACAUGGAUCCAAUUUUCAUGCAAAUCACCAUGUUUCUACACUGAAUUCAAUGAAGCUCAGCUCAGCUCAGAUCAUCGUCGUCUUCUUCAAUUUCGAUCCGAACCCACAACUUGAAUUCUCAACUGACUAACCACAAAUCAUCAAGAACAGAGAAGUCAAAAUAGAAACAAAAGGAUCAUAACCAUCGUACAUAUUCAUCUUUGAGUCGGAGAAUAAAGUUAGAGAAACUUUUUUAGCUUUUGGUCGUCCUGAUGAGCAACAAGCAGCCAGUGAAGCUAGACGACGAGCAAAUCGCGGACCUGCGUGAAAUAUUCCGGUCGUUUGAUCGAAACAACGACGGAAGCCUAACACAGCUGGAGCUGGGGUCGCUUCUGCGCUCACUGGGGCUGAAACCAGGGCCUGAUCAGCUGGAUACCUUGAUCCAGAAGGCAGACACCAACAGCAAUGGCCUUGUCGAGUUUUCGGAGUUCGUAGCCCUCGUAGCCCCUGAGCUUCUGUCCGCCAAGUCUCCUUACACGGAGGACCAGCUGAGGCAGCUGUUUCGGAUGUUUGACCGGGACGGCAACGGAUUCAUCACAGCUGCCGAGCUGGCUCACUCCAUGGCUAAACUUGGACAUGCUCUUACAGCUGAGGAGUUGACUGGGAUGAUCAGGGAGGCUGAUACUGAUGGGGAUGGCAGGAUCGAUUUCCAGGAGUUUGCUCAUGCCAUUACUUCUGCUGCUUUUGAUAAUUCUUGGUCUUAGACAAUUCCCAGCUAGUUAAUUCAUUUCGGAAAUUCCAUCCAUCGGUUUUCUUUGUUUUCAGGUUAGACAAUUUUCCUAGAAUGACCCACCAGCCGAGUCUUCUGUUCCAGCAUGAUGCUCAUAGUGCUUCAAGUAUUUAAUUAUUCAUGUUCUUCUUUUCUCUCCUGAUGAUAAACGUGGCAUUUGUUUUUUUUGGCAAUCUGAUUUAAUUCCAAGGUUCUGAACUUUUUCUUUUGUUGGAUUUCAUGGCCGUUCUGGGAACAUUGCUUUUAUUAUAGGUGAGUUGUGUUAAUCUACGUGUUAUAAUACACGUGGAUAAAUAGAUACAUGUAUUAUAACUUGAGCGAA